rnacentral:rRNA from 1 species
AAUCGUAACAGGUUUCCGUAGGUGAACCUGCGGAAGGAUCAUUAAUGAAUUUAGAUUGAACCAUAGGCGAAAGCCAGUGGUUCUUCUUUCAUAUCCAUAACACCUGUGCACUGUUGGAUGCUUGCAUCCACUUUUAAACUAAACAUUAUUGUAACAAAUGUAGUCUUAUUAUAACAUAAUAAAACUUUCAACAACGGAUCUCUUGGCUCUCGCAUCGAUGAAGAACGCAGCGAAAUGCGAUAAGUAAUGUGAAUUGCAGAAUUCAGUGAAUCAUCGAAUCUUUGAACGCACCUUGCGCUCCUUGGUAUUCCGAGGAGCAUGCCUGUUUGAGUGUCAUGAAACCCUCAAACCCAAGUUUUGGAUUUCGAUCCAUGCUUGAGUUUGGAUUUGGAUGUUUGCCGGUGAUGAACCGACUCAUCUUAAAAGUAUUAGCUUGGAUCUGUCUAUAUGACUGGUUUGACUUGGCAUAAUAAGUAUUUUGCUGAGGACAUCUUCGGAUGGCCAGGACCUAGACUACUGUCUGCUAACUAAACCAUCACUUUAAGUGCAUCUUUGGAUGUUACUCAUUGUGUAACUUUGACAUCUGGCCUCAAAUCAAGUAGGACUACCCGCUGAACUUAAGCAUAUCA